UUAGAAAGAAAGAGAGGAAAGAAAGAAAGAACGAGAAGAGAAGAGAAAAAUUUGUAGAGAAGAGAAAGUGGAGAAAAGAGAAGAGCAAGGGAAAGAUGAAGAGUAGCUAGUAACUUAGUCAUGAAACCAUUCCACCUUCCUUCUUCUUCUUUUAUGAGCUUCUCAGGUGUUGCGUUUUGGUGUUCGUGUUCCGGUCUAGCCUCGCUCUGAUUUGGACACAUAGGGAGGGUGUAUAGUAUUUCAAUUUUAUUUAUAUUGUCUAGGUUAAGACAUAAAAAUGUAUAAGUCACUAGUAAAAGAUUUUCAUCUAAUGCACGUGUAUACUAAUUAAAUUUAUAGCAAUGUAAUUUGGGAAUAGUAAUACCCUAAUUCAUAAUAUUCCUCUA